GAGGGCAAAGUAGUUAAAUCUUGCAGUAGGUUAACAGCUUGUUCAUAGACUAAACACGGGCAGGAAAACAGUCCAGUGAGAAGAUCAAAACUACCUCACAAUUAAAAACAUCAAAUCCAUAAAAUUCCCAAAAGUUGCACAAUUCAUUCUUGGUUCAUGUGAAGGCAAACCCACCACUAGUGAACAAAGACAUGUUUUCCUGUGAAACUGCACAUAAUGCAGGCAGACUCUCUUGCUACUUUUUUUCCCAUGUAUUCUUUUGCACAGAACAGCUCCAUGUUUAGCUCUUGCCACUGGAAUCUGCUUUUCACCUAUCACUUUGCUGAUACCACCAAAUCCACAGCAAGCCUACCUGUGUUUGCUCUCUAAGAUCAACCACUAAGUAAGAGAACCUUCUAUGUAGUGCUUAGGAGGUCAGGAGAAAGAUAUGGAGGAGAGGAAUCUAAGACUGAAUGGUGAAGUGUGUGUUGGUGGAUGAGAGAGGGGCAGGAUUUCUUCACCAUGAUGUGCUACCCUCUUGAGGAAGAAUUUUUAUUUUUAGGAGACCCCCUGUUAAAUUGUGGAUAAUAAAUUGCUCUUUCACCAGUGAAAGUUUAUCUAACAUUUAGAAAGUCUGUGUGAAAUAAUCAAGUAGAAAAUGCUGGUAAUCUCUGCUCUGCUGCUCUAAGUAAGUGCUGUCUGUCUGUAUUGUCUCGAUAAAUAUUUGCAAGCCAGUGUUGAGUAGAGUGCUUUUGUUACUUUUAGCUUGUUCAGCAAGGACUGUGAUGGUGCUCAAAGACACAGUGUAAAAGAAUUAAAAUAUUCUUUACUACUCUUUUAUCUUUUAGUUUCUAACUUUAAGAAUGAGGAUUGUAGAUGAUCUGAAAAGACCUGGCAGUUUCUACAGUAUCCCUCACUUGCAGCUGGGGACAGGCCUUUCUCGCAGGUCAGCUCUGUAAACCAGCCCAAAUAGGAGGGGAGAGAGCGUAGAGUGGUGUCCUUGCUGUGCUGCAGCCCCUGAAAGAUGGGAGAGGAGGCAAGUAUAUUGAGCACCUUGGUGUGUGUAGGUGUUUCAGCUGAAAUCAUUGAGCUAGGAGGCCAUCUGCUGUGAUGGCCGCUGCUCACAAGCGUGUGAGAGAAUAUAUUUAAAAUGAGUUGCAAGCAAGUUACAGAACGAGAGAGAGUGUGUGUGCACUUUCUUGAGCUGAUAAUUGCUCAUCAGGCAGGGCUGUGCUGAUUUUAUUGUCUGGCACAGAGCAUAGAAGCAGUAAGCAAGCCCUUGCCUGAGUUUUGGGUCUUUUUUUUCCUGGAGUGAAGAUGAUGGCUUCCAGAACUGUUCGGAGGCAGGCGCGUCAGCCAGACAAGCUCCCAGCAAUGCCAGGGGAAAACUGCAUUGGUGCUAGCAGUACACCCAGCCAAAUAACAGCUGCUUCUGAUUACAUUGCAUUUCACAUCUCUGGGAAGGAGGCAGCCUGUUUCAUUUCUGUUUUUUUCUUCUCCCCUCCCCCUGUGUUAAUCCGACCUUUUUAUGAGAUGUAUUUCUCUGUAGUCAAUGACAAAGUGAGCUGUAGAAAGGGAUUUUUGCCUACUUGUUGUUAGGCUUUUGUUAAUGAAGCAUCACAUGCCACUGUCCUAUAAAGCUGUGCUGUGAUGGCAGGGUGCAACAGAACAGCAAAAACUAUAGUUCUAGUGUUGGCUGGGGUUUUUUUUUUGCUUUCAUUUUUUAUCUUGCUACUUCUUCUCAGUUGAAAACACAGAGAAUAUCACUGCAAGUUGGGAGAAGGUCUAUACAUGUUGCAUCUCUUCUCUUGGAUCCACUCUGGGGCUUUACUGUGCGUUUUCACCCUUUUAAUAAAGGAACAAAAAGGAUUACUGUGUGACUGUUAUUCCCUCUCCUGUGUCUGACAGGUACAUUUCUUGCUUGUUUGGGAUGGCAGCUCCUAUGUGGACUGAGUCUGUAAGUGUUCUUAACUUAGGAAAACUGUUCAUUUUAAAAAUCACUACGUUAGCUGUGAAUGCAAUUGCAGAGCUGUUGCAAUGUCAUAUGUAACCCCAGAGAGAGAAGGUGUACAGCUCUUCAUGCCACAGACUAGGCAGUACUGCUUUCUCCCUAACUUUUUUGCUUCAUCUUGCCAUGUUACUCUCUCCUGCUGAUCCAAACUGUCAGAACUGCAGUGGAUUCUUACCCCUAAUAACUCUUCUUGCCUGGCUACUGGGUGGUCUGUCACUCUGUGUGCUCCGUUCCCUUGUUCUCAGUCCCUCCUGUUGUACUGACUCUUAAUUCCACCAUCUUACAUACUGCUUGUGUAUGCCUUUCAUGUCUAUGAUUAUCUCUUUUUUUCCUCACCUCAUCUGCCUGCCUGUAAUUCAUUCUUUCAGGUGUUACAGCCUUUUUCAACAUUUAAGUUCUAGGAAAUAGGUCUGCAAGGGAUUGGAUAGGUCAUUUAGUCAAUCUUCCCACUCAGGGUAAUAUCAGCUAAAGCCCAGAGUAUCCAUGAGACAUUUUGGGGGUCAGAUACCCCCAUGAGACAUCCUUCCUCUACCUGCCACUACUUGUAGGCUCCUCCUAGUAGCUUCCAGCUGCCCCUUUUCCUGGGUGGUGCAUGGGGGGAGUUAGUGUCCAGAAGAAAACCAUCCUUGAAGGCUCCAUUUGGGCUCAUUUUUAUGCUGUCUCGGCUACGGGUCUGACUACACUUAAAACUAUUUCUGACAGAAAUUCAGUUUUCACAUUUUAAUCUUAAAUUCUAAUCACUCCCUACUCCCUCCCUCCUUUCCUCCAGCAAUCUGUUCUAGUACUCAACUAUUUUAAUACUAGGAAGUUUUUCCUAAUGUCUAACUUAGGCCUCUCCUUGAAGCUCUCAUACGUGGUAACCACCUUCUACCGAAGCUGAAAUGGAGACAGUUCAAUUCUUCCCUAUUUAUGAUAGCUGAUAACAUGAAGAACUACUAAGUCUUAUGUGCCUGGGGAGUGUCUGGGGCCAAGAGAGUAUAAAAAGUGUUUGUACUGGUCCGUGAUUACGUUACAAGCCCAGUAUCCUGUCUGCAACAGUGGCAGUGGCAACUGCAUGUCAGGAGAAGAAUAAAAACAGAACAGAUGUCUUACAAUACUUUCCCCUUGAAAUGCUGUUCCAACCUCUGUGUUUUCGACUCAGGAGACUGCAUGAUCUUAGUGCAGCUUGUCUUUUUAGUGAUCUCAUCUGGAUCUCCUUUGUGAUUCUUACUGUCUCCUCUUGAAUGUAUGUAAGCUCUUGAAGCUUAUGGCCUCCAAGAGUCUGUAUGCUCUGGCUCCUUUGGCAAGGAGUUUGAGAAAUCUACUGCGCACUGUGAAGAACAACUGCCCUUAGUUUGCCUUCCAGAUAGAGUUGAGGGGUUGGGUUGGGUACCGCCAUCCCUCCGGGCCUCAAAGAGGGAAAGAAGCAUCAGGAGUGUUAAGAAAGGCAGCAAGGAAACUCGGAGAAUAGCCAGAGAUGUACAUUUAUAGGCCCAUACCAGAAAGAGCUAAGGAAAGAGAGCAUUUUGAAUGGAAACAUCAGUAGAAAAAGGUUUAGGAACUGUAAGCAAAAAUCCCCAGUGUCUCCUGUAUGAUUCUUGCUGUGUUCAGGGCUCAAAGGUUCCUUGUGAAGAACUGAAAUGGCACUGAAGAUAUGCUGACUGCAUUGUAGAUUGUCUCCUAAUGAGAUCAACCUGCAAGACCCCAAAUUUUGGCCAACUGCCUGUGGCGAAAAUGUCACCCUGCUUUAUAGUCCGUUAGACACCUCUCUGCAGAUCUUUGAAAAGCUCCAGCCCAAAGCAGUGACCAUCUGCUCCCAUUCUGCCAGCCUGGAAACUGCAAGUCCCACAGUUCUCUCUCUCUGGGGUGAUGUGCCAGAAGUCAUUUAUUGCCCUAAAUGAGUGUAACUGGGAAACUAAGAAACAUGUGCUGUGAUGUGGCUACUUCAGCUUUCUUUGUGACCAAGGUCAAAAAAACAAAACAAAACAAAAAACUUAUAAAAGGCUUUCUCAAAAAAAAAUCUUUCGAUAGAAUAAGAUUAUUUAAUGUAUUCAUAAAGAAGUAGGAAAGCAACUAAUGGUUCAGUGCAGUUCAUAUUUCAUGUCAAAUAGAUAGUUUUAGCAGAAAGGUUAGCUAAGCAAAUAAUAUUACUUUAUAUUUUUAAAUGAGUAUUCUUAUAAAUAUAUCAGUAGUUAAUACUCAUUGGUUACAGUUUUCAUGACCACUAACUUUUAAAACAAUUUUGCCAAGUACGACAUGGAUUUGUGCAAUAUAUGUUGAAUAACAUCCCUGAACCUGCUCUAUACUAAAAAUUUUACUAUUGUUCUAUGCCCACUGGAGUGGAGUCUAUUUUCUGAUGUUUUUGUUUGUUUUAACUGUCUUAUUUUUUAAAGGAUGUGGUCUCAAAUCUUAAACUGUAAGUGAUGUGGGAAAGAUUUUGUCAAUGGUGCAACUCAGGUAUCAUUUCAGAUAUAAACAUCUUGUAUCACUGGGAGAAAUGUGGUACAAAAGUUUUAAGAGAAACACUUCAGGACCUGAAGAGGUAGGAAUGUUGCCUUUUCUGUUCUCAGUGCAGGUCACACUUUUUUUUGUCUGCUCUCUCUUUUGUAAACUCAGCCUGUAUUUAUUUUUAAUUCAAUAGAAAAAUUUACUUUGGACCUAAAAGUGUAUCUUGCCACUGAAAAAUAGAUUAUACAUACACAAAUAAUAUUUAUACUUCAUCUUUGGCAUUUUUAGUGGGAAAAGUCAUGCAUUAGCAGGUGAGUAAGACAAUACGAUUGAAGAGAUUUCCUUUUUUACUAUCUGUAAUAUCUCUGAGUGUGCACUAAGCAUAGCCUAGUGUGCGCAAGGCCCCCUAAGAAUUGCAAGUACAGAACUUUAAAUCCAAGUGUAAUAAUGUUUGCUUGAAUCUAUUUUGGUCCUAAGUUGUAGCAUUCACAUCUAGGACAAUGUUGAUUUUCUUUGUGUACAAUACAAAAAUAAAUAAAAUAUAAAAUAAUCAAAGGAACUAAUGCCUUAUCAUUGCCAGACAUGGUGUAAAUAUGCCUCUGCUCUGGCGUGCUAUGUGUUUUUUCCUGAGAGUAAUGCUGAUAUGGAUUUUGUUGGCAGGGUCCUUUAGAAUACAUAUAUUAAAAAAAAAAUCAUUUUUCAGCAAGAGAGGGUGUUUGUUUUAAACCAAAUGAUUGUUUGCUUGCCUUUCUUUUUUUUUGCCACUUAGGGAGCAUAAUAUGGUGCUGUGCUGCAGAUCAAUUGAUGUUCCAUCAUGAAAGUGGUUUUUCUUGGCCUCUGCUGUAUUUAUAGCAGUUUCUAAUGAGAAGUUGCUGCUCAGCUGCAAAUGCCACAGAGUUAACACUGAUAUUCUCAGUAGAAGAGAGAAAUGGGCUAAUCACAGGUGCUUAUAAUUUGCCAGGUACUUGAAAGCCCUUUCAUGUGAGGGUACUGGCUCUGUCUAAAUGGAGGGUUCAAGGAAAAUAAAUCUGUAUUCGCACCAGAGAGUACAUUCUCCAUGGUCCCGUUAUUCUCAUGUAUAUAGCAGGUGAUGCCCAGAAAAUGAGUUUCGUACCAAGCUGCCAGAAGCCAUGCCAGCUAGUUGCUGUGCCCUUCACGAAAAAAGUCUCUGCAGUUGUUACACUACAUCACUUUCCUAACCAUCUCAAGCAGCUAUUUCUGAGGACUUUUUGAGCAAAUUUUCUGUGAAAUAUCUUUUAUUCCACAUGAAAGAAGCGAUUGGGAAUGAAGCUCACAAGAAAAUUGUGCCUGAAGUUCAGCCACUCACAGAACUUUUUGUUACCAUGCAUGAUUUAUGGAUGUGGCUUGGUACUUUCCUCAUUUGUAGAGUACCUAAAACCUCAGAAAUCUGGGCUCCUGAGAGUCCUCAGUUCACCGUCUAGCAUGUUUGUCAACUUUAAGUUAUUUCUAUGGAAUACAUUUUCCCAACAACUGUAAGAGGAUGACAGCAGAGAUAAGUGUUUCUGGGAUGAGCCUCAAAACAGAGAAACCGAAUUGUGGCUACAGACGUUUCUACAGCUUGUGCCCAAGGCUACCCAUAGCAGGGAACACCAUGAGAAACAGAAUUGUUGCUUCGCAGCCAGCCAGAGAUGUAGGAAAGCUGUUUGGCAUAAGCAGACAGUUGUGCUGUGGACUUUCAGUCACUUGGGGUGGUAGGGCAGGAAGGGCUAAAUGCUCAUAAUGUUGUUCUUGACUGUUGUUGCUGCUACUGUUUUUUAGCAAAAGCUUUAAUGCAGAAAGCACUUGACACUGAGAACAUAACUGAACUGGUGUAGCUAAACCUAAAUGAACCUAAGCCUAAAUGCUCCUGUCCCGUGUGUGUGUGUGUGUGUGUGUAUGAGCACUCACUGUGGUAAAUGUUUUAAAACCUAGUCUACAUUUUGUCAUGAAACAGAUACAGAGGGCUUGAGGUUAUGGUUGAAAUAUUUCUGUCUUAGCUUCAUCUAAAUUAAAUGUUUUUUAAAUUUUUUUUGCUGCAGUUUUGAAACAUAAGAUUGCUUGUUUCCAGAAUGUCUACAGGUGAGAGCAUUAAAGUUUUUGAUAUAAACAAACAGAUGUGGCCUACUGUUCCAUUAGUAAAUGAAUCUCUAUCAGAAGCCAGAGGAAAAAGCAGUGGAAAAUUUGCAUCAUCUUUGGUUUGCGUUCACUGAUACUCUCAUGUUUGCCCAGUCCUUCCACAGUCAUUGUGCUUAUUAUUUUAAGGACUGACUAUGGCUAAGAAUUAGCUUAUGUAUGGAUAAUUCCUUAUGUAGUGCUUGCACAAGAAAGCACAUCCAUGUGCAUUUGGAAACUGUACAUGUGGAAGCUUUUGUAAGGUCGUUAAGAAAAUACUGGUAUGGACAAGCCUUGACCAUGCUACCAUUAGGAGAAAAAUUUGCCUACGGCCUGCCAGUAUUUGUGGUAACUUAAAGGCUUCAGCUUUGGUAAAUAAAGCAUAAUUGUACAAUAAUCAAAGUAAGUAUGAUGGUUCUGUGGUAAAGGCUACUCCUUUUUGAUCCACUUGUUUUUCUGACCCAGAGAAUGGCUGCUGUAAAUGGUCUGCCAAGGCCAGAAUGUGCAGGGUGGUCAUACCCUUGAAUCUCAUAAACUAAAUCUCUCUUUAUUUGCAUUGCAAACUCCCCAUAGGCCAGGCAGCCAGUAAUGCUCAGGAGAACUUCUUGGUUUUAUUUCUAGUGAUGAAUCUUGCAAACUGUUAAAAGCUUGGUUCUGCACGGCAGCUAUUGUUAUGCUGGUUCUCGUUUUUGCAGCACUUUCCCCCAGCAAUUUCUAGAAGGAUAAAUGAUGACUUCAGUAGCUAGAGUUCAUUGUCAGUUAUGAAGGAAUCCAAAGCUCUUUCAGAACUGCUUCAGCAUAAUUUUCUACCCAUUUUUUUGACCUGUACACAUACCUACUUAUAAAGCAAAUUAAUACAGGUGUGGUUGUACUUACUUUUAGAGAACCACAUUUUGGGUUCGUCGUAAGGCAGGCUAAGCUUCCUCCUCCUCCUCUUCAUUUCUGCAGUAAGAGCUUCUUUCAUGUUGCUGGCUGUCUUGGCAAAAACUUUUCCAUUUUUGCUUCAGGCAAGUGUGUCUAAUAGGACCCAUGAUAUUGGCUGUCUUUCCUAGGCGCUGCUUACCCAAAUGCACUGGAAAGCUAGACAGGAAAUCCACAAGCUAACAUGAGCACAACUUGGUGGAGUGGAGUUGAUUAAGAUUUAAACAUGACUAUCUGGGGCAUACAAGUGCAAUGAAUGUGAAAGGAAAGUUUGCAGUAUUUACACUGAGAAAGCACAAAAGUGUGAUACUAAGUGCUUUAGCAGUAGAGGUAUGAUAGAAAGGCAGGAAAAUUGUAGCAGGAGCCUAUAAUGAAGCUUUAGUGUGAGGAACCAUGUUGGAUAAUAUGACAGUAUAGGACUGUUAUCUUUGUGUUGCUAUAAAUGUUGCUACAGGUGACAAUGUAAUUUGAAAUAAUAUAUGAAUAAGUAGGAAAUGUUGGACUCUUCACUGCUCUACUUUCAAGCAAAUUAAGCACAAGCUUCUAAUUUCUGUCAAGCUCUGAAGUCUACUAGGUCUUCAGCAGGGAGUAUACUGAAGUUUAAAAUACCAAAAGAAGUGCAGAGGCUUUUUGAAGAGCUUUGUCCUACCCCAGAGGCUGCAAGCCUUUCCUGUGCUAUGGACGUCGUGGCAAUUAUUAGUGUGAGUAAGGCACACAUAGCUCAUCUCGUUAAGGUAAAUUCCAUUUCUUCCACUCAACAAAGCUGCAUUUUCUUCACUCAUGCUUUGUAUCAAGAGGUUGCAGCUGGGGCUUAUAAACAUCAUAAAGUUACCUAGAAGCUGCAGGGCACAGUGGGAGUAAGAAUACACACUGAAUUUCUUUGCAUUUAAAUUAAGGACUGAGCAUGGUAUCACUAACUGUAAAAAAAUUAGUGUUAGAGCCAAAUCAAAGAGGUUCUUGUCUCUUAAUUUUAAGCUAAUAUAGCAAAGAUGUCUAAUAAUUCCAACAUAUCUUUUACAGCAUUUUUAUUGCGCAAAUCCACAUUUGCCCAGUUUGUAAGACCAAUUGUUGACUUAGUUUCUGCAGAGAUUUUGAACUGAUACCAGUUAAAGUCAAAUCACAUAGUAUCCCUCACAAAUCUGACGCACUAUGGUUGAGUAGAACAGUUUUCUGCAUUUUAUUAUGAAAGGAUCAAUUCUAGUAGGAAGAGACUCAUUCAUUGCCCAUGCUUAUUCUAUGUGAUGUCUGUCUGACAUGAACAGGGGAGAUGUGUGAAUACUCUUGAGUUGUAUUGUGUGCGCUAGAUGACGGAGGUAGGUUAGUUGCAGACUGGCCUUUACUUUAACCUGAGUCCUUUCAGUCAAUAUUGAAUCUCUUAGGACAGGUUCGCUGUUCUGGAAUCACAUAACUUAGGGAAGGCUCUGUUACAGGUGGAACACUCUCCUGUCAGGAUCAAACAGUGGUUGCAUUAUUUGUAUUGCUGGAAAAUUAAUUGUUUGGCACCCAGUUCCAUCUGGGUUCUGACUGCCCUGCACUACUGCCUGCCGUGUUUGAUCAGCAACACACUGUACCUAACCAUCUUUAGCACCCAGGGAAGAAAGCAGGAGUUGGAUGUGUGAUUUCGGUGCUAAGCCACAUCCAUGUCUGUAAUAGUAAUAUUAUAACCACAUUGCUUAGCUUGUUGAAAAGGCCCACAAAUUAUUCCUGAAACUUUGUAAAGAAAGAGAGCUUAAGAAAUGAAGAGAAUAUCUAAAACUGCUUAACCAAAUAUGGGGGAAAAAAUUGUGUUACAGGAGUGAAACAUCAAAUGUAAUCCUUUUUUUGACACAUAUCAUAUAUAGGCUCAUAUAUAAAAGGAACUGUUACACAAAGCUGGUCUGACAUUAACUUAGUGCUGUUUAGUGAAGCUUUUGAGAAUCUGGAAGACUGCAAAAAAAAAGCUGCCAGGUCUUUUGGAAGAACUAGAAAAAGACUGGAGAAAUCUUCAUGUGCUGGCAGGUUUAGAUAAAUGUGAUUGUGUUUUCCUUUGUAGCUGCUGUUUGCUCCUUACCUAUAUCAUACAACUUUCUCCAGAUGAGUUGUCUGUAUCUUCUUAAUUCUUUAAAGCACAGCAGUAUUGGAAGAUAAAAUGACAUAUGAUAUGCUUAAAAAAAUGUCAAAGAUGGCAAUAAAGAUGGGUUUAAAUUUCUAAUUAGACAUUUGGAAGGUCUUCAAAGGCUUAGUCUUCCUAGAUGGAGCUCUAGUGAUUCCCUGCUUACAUCACCUUUAUGAUCUUUAUCUAACUUCUGUAAUGUGACUGAACAGAAAUGAAUGAAACUCCGUUCAAAUUUCGUAACAGCAGUACGAAAUACUGCACUUUCCCUUACUCGUGUGAACACAUGUAGCUGUUAAACAUAAUCUAUCCAUGCUGUACACAAGUACAUAAACAAAUCUUUACAUCUUUCUUUAGCAGGGAAGAGAAGGCCUGGAAAACAUGCCUGGCAGCAUGAAUCAUGGAGUCAGUGCCAGUGGCUUUGAAAUUUUGGAACUGUGUGGAAAAUGAUGGAUGGAGACAUGGAGCACGAUGAUGUACCUUAAUAGUCGUGUGUCAUCCUCCUCCCCCCCACCGGUUAUGAAUCCAAAAUGAUUAUAAACUCUGCUUUUCAAUGGAAGUUGCAUAUGGUAUUUGUUUUUAAGGGAAAGCUGGUUAAUAUUAAAUCUUUAUCUUACUUUGUGUCAUUUUGGAAACUGUAUCUACCCAUAUCUCCUGGAGUUGCAGGCAGAGAUGCAUGGAAGUCCUUUGCUUUGGAGCAGCCCUUGGGAGUGGGGUCCCAGCUGUGUGUCAGGGCAGUUCCAGAACAGCAGCCUCCAGAGGUCUCUCCCAGGACCUCUGGUUUCCUGCCGGGAAGCCGCAGGUCUGAGGGCUCCUUGGGCUCUUCCCUUGCUGAUCGGAGACAGGGGUUCAGCAGGCUGCCCACAGCUGGCUGGGCUAGGGAGUCCGCAGCACCCAUUGCUCCCCCCCUCACACCAAUUGAAAGGUGAUUUAUCUGAUGGGUCUGUGACAGCAGGAGAUCAGACAGACUUUGAGCCCUUGCAUUGCAGUGGAAGGUGUGUGGAAAGCUAGAUACUAUGGAUGAAUUGACAUUUUCUGAAGGGGAAAACACAUUGUCAGAAAACUUCUAAUUAUCUAAAGGAGAAAAAAAACCACUGAAGAGAAAGGGAGACUUGGCACAUAUGAAUUAAAGUGGAAUGGAGGACGCUGGGAAUGAACAAGAAGAAAGAUGUAGAGAACAUGAAGUUGGUGCUCUUAAGUUUUCCCAGUCCAAUCAGGGAGUCCAGUAGUUGGACCAUGACUGUCAUCCUAAAUGAUGUUUAGCAGUCUCUUGUUGUUCCUUAGUGGAUAAUGUCCAUAUCACAAGAACUGUUACCACACGAUCAUGUCAGAAGGCUUUUGCUGUUCUUCCUGUUAGUCAUGGAAGACAGACCAGAGCUGAAAGGUCACACAAGACCUAACAAAGUAUCCCUCCAUCUCUCUCCAGAAAUGCCUUAGCCAGCAAGUGAUACAAACACUAGAAGCUUAAACAAUUGCUGUCCUGUGUCAUACCUUUUCACUGAACAGACAAGUGGUUGGCUUCUCUAGCAACUGUACUCUGGAUGUUUUCAUAGCUUAGCAGUUUCUACUUCUGCAGCUCUUAGUGGAGUGGGAAAUGCAACGCACAAGGCCUUACGGAAGAACCCGUGGAGUUUCUGAGCGCAGGAUAGGCUGUGUUUGGGAAGAAUCUUCAGCUAAGAAGAGGUUUAAAACAGAGUUUUUGCUGUGAGCUCUGCCUCUGUGAUGACACUUAAAAUCCAGCUGUAGAGCGUGUUUCUGCUGCAGUACCAGAGUGAGUUUGUCAAGGCAUCUCCGGUGAGAGUGAAGGGCCCUGAUUCAUUUGGUUAAGCACUGGUUCUGGCAGGGGGCUUUUUUUGAUAAACCAACAGAACGAUAUGGGUCGGUCAUUAACAGCUGACUAACUCUCAAGGGUUUCUCUUUAGCUUUUGACUUUGCUUUGUUAAAAUUUACAACGGCGAAUUUUGUGCCAUAGAUUUUACGCAAGGCAGUGUGUGCUUGUAUCAUGUUUCCCUGCUACAUCUUAAUGGCUGUUUUACAUCUAGGCUAGAAUGUGAUACAAUUAUAGUGUCCCCCACUGAGAGGAGUUGGGGGAGAAGUGGAGAAAAUACUGCACAGCUGUGUUGGUGCCAUUAACAUUUAGGCUUGACAAGCCGGUUAUUACAGUUGGUUAUUUAGUGUUGUUUUGGACUGAGCAUCCCUUUUCUCUAAGGCCAGACUUGACAGUUAUGUGACAGUGGAGGUUCUGGAUAGCUUCUCCAAAACCUUACAGUGAAAUAGAGUAUGAAUAAAGAUGUAUAGCAAAUACAGCUAAGUAAGCCAGGCUUUUCAAAUAAGUAACUUUUUUAUUAUUACUCAGAAACAUUGAGAUAGUUAGAGAGGACUAUGUACACUCUGUAAGUCCGGAGGACUUUGAAAUAUGACAGUUGCAAUUGGGAGGUCUACGUUUCUGUUUUUACAGCUAUUCUAAUCUUCCUAUGUGAUUGUGUGCAAAUCAUGCAAGACUACUUGUAAAAUGAGUAUAUAAUAACAAUAAAGAUCCUAUGAAGAUACCUUUAGGGCAUAGUGCCUUGCAGUUAUAUCAAGUGAAAGAAAGUUUAUCCAUUAUCCUUCAUUCACCAAUGAACGUGGUGCCUUGUUUGGGAAGGUCAAUAGGCAUUGGUAGCAUGGCAGUUGAUAGUAUUGACUUAGGAAGUAAUUUACAAUGCACAGUGUGGAGGAAAUGAAUCUAUAUAAGAGAAUAUGAUUUCUUUCCUCCCUUUCCUCUCCCAACAGUCUGUAGAGGUGUUAAAAAUAAGGGUUUAUGGCCACUGUAUGCUAUUUAGAGGCAAUAGUUCAGUGCUGCCAGCGGAUCUCAAAUUGAAUAAAAGUGGAGAACAUCAUUCUGGUGCAAGCUCCGUCCCUGCAAGCUUCAAGCUGGGUUGUGUAAAGUGUUGUGGGUUAGACAUGGAAGAGAACUGUCCUGCUGUUUACUGUACUAGUAAGGCUUCAGCCAGAGUACUCUGUUCAGUUUGUGCUGCCACACUCAAUUAGUCUGUGUCUUCCCUGGAGUAACAAGCAUGAUCAGAGGCUGACAAGGAAAGAAUGAGGGAACUGAUUCUGUGACAUCUGGUGAGAACUAAGUUGGGGAGAUAUGAUAACAGUUUUGAAAUAUGCUAAAAGAAGGGAAUAACUCUCCUAUACAUCUGCUAGGGAUAGGAUGAGAAAUAACAGGCUGAAAUUGCAAAAAAGUUAGGUUGGAUUGAGACGUUGGGGAAAAGGAUGUAAGGAUAGUUAUAUCUAGGUAUAUAUUGUCCAGAAAGCUGUGGAAUCUGUCAGGAUACUUUACAUGUAGUUCAGUUUAUCUAGGACAGAAUUUAGAUGUCCUCUCCAGCUCUCUUCCAGCUUGUAUUCCAUGAAUACUGGGGAUUCUCUGCCCUGCCCCCCAUGGACUUGCAAUGCAAAUUUCAAUCUGGAUUCAAAUCCUCUCGGGAAAUCAAGGUGACUCAGAUAUAAGCUAUUGGAUGCAAGUUCUGUUCUUUUAUCUAGUCACAACUAGUAGCCCAAAGAUUUGGCUCUCCACCUCUGAAAGGAGAAGCUGAAGCAUUAAUGUGUGCUGAAAUUUUCAUUUUCCACAACCCAAAGGAAUCCUAACCUAUGGAAUCUUUUGCAGAACUCAGUUUUUUCUCUAUGAACUGUUCAACUUUGUAAAAAUUGUUAAAUAUUUAGCGGUGCUGAAAGCGAUGCCCUUUUUUUCCCCCUCCCUUUGCUAGAAUAAUUAAUAGCCCAAGUGAUGACAUGGGGAGUUGGUGUCAAGGCAAUUUUGACUACAUUUGUUAUCAGUGAUUUGCAAUCCUGCAUUGGAUGAAGCACCCAGAGUUUGUGGCCUUUCCUUUCUUUUUGGAGCUAAGUAGUAUUUUCCAAAGAAAAUAAGUCAUUGUCAGAUUCCCAACCAACCCCAUUUGUAGUUUCUGGAACCCAGAGAACUUGCACUGGAGCACAUUAGGAAUUUUAUUUUCCACAUUAUAUUUUAUAUCACAUGUCUAACUUACCAUAUUUGUGUUCUUUAGAAGAGGUUUCAGAUCACCUUCUAAAUCAGUGCAGGAGUUGAGGGCAGAAUUUAACACAUUAGAAAAUGAGACUUGACCACUUCAGGAUUAUAUGUUGUGAUGCCUACAGUGAUGGUUUUGCCAAAAAGUGCCUGUCUGGGUCUCUGCUGCAGAUAGAUUUUUCUCUGUUGUGCAGAAUAAAGUAACAUCAGUGUUAUUUCAGUUUAACAUCAAGGGAUGACUGGAAUAAUGCUUGCAAUGGGUAAUAUCAGCAUGAAAGAAUGAAGCUAACUUAUUCCUGCUACUUACUGUUUAUUUUUCUUGCAUGCUGUUUGUAAGAAUUUCCUGUAUUCACUUUGUAGUGAGCUAAGUCAGUAUUCUGUAUAUUUAGGUUUCACAGGCUUCCUUCUUAUGCUGUGGAGCUCAUCGCAGUCAACAUCUGGCAGCUGGCUGGGAAGCCCAUAUUUUUAUUUUUUUUCAGGGGAUGAGAGCUGUUCUGAAAUUUCUGGCUAGAUAUACUGAAAUAUGCAUCAUUUGGCACAGACAUUACUGAUGCAGCUGUACCAUAUUCAAAAAAGUGAUUCAGAAGCAAAACAGGUCACUUGUCUUGAAUCCUGCAAAUCCAAGUCUUAAUGUGUGUAAGAACAGCAAUGUCUGGGAUGAAGCUGCUCAUGUGGCCAAGCAGAGCUUCCCUGAGCCUCUCUUUAAUGGUGUGAGGGCAAAAGAGCUCUGGGCUUUCACAAACAGCUGGUAAAAUAUUAUCCCUGAGAACACAAUCUGGCAGAACCUUCCCUACUAAUUUUGUCAAGGUAAAUGAUACAAGCCUUCUGAUAGGAGUGAGUGAUCUGGGGUCAAGGGGUUCUUGUUUUCUCUGUCUACCAAUUUAUUUAGCAAACAACUGUUGUCAUCACUUCUGAAUUAACUGCAUGCAAUUCACUCUGUUCAGGGAGUUAAAUCUCCUGCUACAACUUUAUCCCUCUGUAAUGGAAAAAGCUGAAAGAUGUGUUUAUUGUUCUUUCCUCAGGUAGCUAAAGAGUUCAGGCAAGAGAGCAGAGAGGGCAACAUCUCAUAGGCCUUUUAUUACAUACUACAAUAGCUUUUACUUCCCAACUGCCUUGAGCAGGAAUUGAAUUCUAUAAAAUGUUAAAGCAUCAUUUACUUAAGUGUCCCCCUGAAAAAACUAUGUGGUUGCACAGUAAGAUGACUAUAUAUCUACCUAACAUCUGGCAAAUCACUGUGUUAUGAUAUGUAAAUAUUGGGAGGGUGUCCAAUAGACUGUCUCUCCAUACAUCAGUUACUUCCAGAACUUAGACAACUAUGUACCUCCAGAGUGUAAGAUCAAAGUAAAGCUUGAAAUGUAGUGAGGAGAUUAAUGAUGUAACCAGACACUACCUGUGCUCAGGAUAGGCAAUAAUGGGUUUCAAAUUCUAACAAUAGACUGUUUGGGUACUGGCACAAUGUAGGCUGUUAGAGCUACAAUACAAAAUUCCCAUCAGAAAGCAAUUAGGCAUUUUGCUGGAAUGGCAGCGCUGGCAAAGUUACCUCUAACAGUAGGAGGAACAGCAUGGAGUGCGUGCAGCCCAGAAAGACUUAGGUGCUGCUAGGUGUCCAAGUAUAGUCAGCCCUGACCAGGGCCAGGCCAUAACAUAGAAAUAUGAUGGAGACAGACAGGAGUGGAGAGGGAAGAGAAUGGAAAUGCGAGAAAGGACAGUCCUUGUUAACACCAAGUGAAAUGCUGAGUCCAGCCAAAGGUAGCUUCCCAUUAGCCUGAAGAAUGCAUGGAGCUCUAGGAUUUGGCCUCUGCUUUUGUCUGUGCUUUUAAGUCU